UAAUAUUCCAGUGGUUGCCGCA
rnacentral:siRNA from 1 species